AGUUACCAAGUUCCCUCAGAUGAAGGAAGGGAGAACCCUAAUCUGAAGAGGGGAGGUCUGAAGUGGACAGGAACAGUAUCAAGGAGACCACAGGAGGCAAAACAUUAAAAGUUGAAGAAACAGCAUAAAUAACAGAAGACUGAAACUAAGCUGAUUGGAUCAAGGACAGACACCUGACCAAGGACAGUCACGCUGUGCUUUAUGUCCCGGCAGAAAAAGGCUCUGAUUUGUAUCCUAAAGGAGUAGUCCAACGGAAAUAGGCAAAUGCCAGCAAUGGGAGAAGAAUUAGACUCCACUUCUUGAUGAGAGAGUGAGAGAAGAACCUGAAACAAGGGCUUUAUGCAUAUGUUGCUAAAUCCAGUGGGACCAUCUGAGAAACCAUAUAAAAUGCAUAUCAGGUCUGUCCAUCCCAGGAGAGAAAGGUAUUGAUUCACAGAAUAGAAGAUGAUGAAUAAAUGUUUCUUCUGGAUUAAAGCCUCUAUUUCUGAAAUUUCUUAUCAGUUACCUUAUUUCUUAUAAUUGAUUUUACAGAGUCUAUAAAAUCAAAAACUCUUAGAUUAGGAUGAAUUUAGAGGGAAUCCAAUUCAACCUUUUACUCAAAAGAAACCCCAGCUAUAAGAUUCCUGACAAAUGAUGGUGCUGCUUUACACUUAAUUUAUUAGUCUUCAGUCACAAGAAGUUUACUAUCUCAGGAGAAGUUUUUCAAAUGAUAUGUUUGUCUCUUAAAGUGAGAACAAUCUUGAGGACAAAGUAAUUUAAAAGCCUUAAUAAUAAUGACAGCAAACACUUAACAUUGCUCUUACAGCGUGCCAGGCACAGUUCUGAUUACUUUUCAAUUGUUAAUACGUUUAAUUGUGACUCUAAUGCUAUCAUGUAGGCACUAUUCAUAUCCUUAUUUUACAGACAGUUUAACUAACUUGCCCAAGGUCACAUGAUUAGUAAGUAGCAGAAAUGGGGUUUGAAAUCAAGCCAUCUGGCUCCAGUGUCUGCCCUUUUAAACGUUACAUAAAGAAAAUAAUUUCCAGAGCUUCCACUUUUCUUUCCUUUUUUCUCAUUUGCCAUUGCUCCUUUAUUUUUCAUAAGGCUUCUAUGAUCUCUAGGCCAAAUGAGAUUCCAAAAAUAACAAUUUUAAUUUCCAAAUCGAGGGCAUGAUUUCUAAAUGGACCAAGUUAUUUUUGUGAACUCUACAUAAAAUUCAGGAACAGAACUUUGGGAAGGAACUUCCAGAUGGCAGUAAAUCUUCACAGUUCAGUAAUUAAGCCUUUUGAGAAUGUUACUCUGUGAUGGAGCCACUGCCUGAUUAACUGUACAAUAUCAAUUAUAUCAAACGGCACUACUUUAAUUCUGUCAAAAUUUAGAGAAAUCUGACACGCUGACA
rnacentral:lncRNA from 1 species